rnacentral:tRNA from 1 species
GGGGCUGUAGCUCAGUUGGGAGAGCGCCUGACUGGCAGUCAGGAGGUCAGGGGUUCGAUUCCCCUCAGCUCCACCG